AGCCGACCUUGAAAUACCACCCUUUAAUGUUUGAUGUUCUAACGUGGGCCCCUUACCGGGGUUGCGGACAGUGUCUGGUGGGUAGUUUGACUGGGGCGGUCUCCUCCUAAAGAGUAACGGAGGAGCACGAAGGUUGGCUAAUCCUGGUCGGACAUCAGGAGGUUAGUGCAAUGGCAUAAGCCAGCUUGACUGCGAGCGUGACGGCGCGAGCAGGUGCGAAAGCAGGUCAUAGUGAUCCGGUGGUUCUGAAUGGAAGGGCCAUCGCUCAACGGAUAAAAGGUACUCCGGGGAUAACAGGCUGAUACCGCCCAAGAGUUCAUAUCGACGGCGGUGUUUGGCACCUCGAUGUCGGCUCAUCACAUCCUGGGGCUGAAGUAGGUCCCAAGGGUAUGGCUGUUCGCCAUUUAAAGUGGUACGCGAGCUGGGUUUAGAACGUCGUGAGACAGUUCGGUCCCUAUCUGCCGUGGGCGCUGGAGAACUGAGGGGGGCUGCUCCUAGUACGAGAGGACCGGAGUGGACGCAUCACUGGUGUUCGGGUUGUCAUGCCAAUGGCACUGCCCGGUAGCUAAAUGCGGAAGAGAUAAGUGCUGAAAGCAUCUAAGCACGAAACUUGCCCCGAGAUGAGUUCUCCCUGACUCCUUGAGAGUCCUGAAGGAACGUUGAAGACGACGACGUUGAUAGGCCGGGUGUGUAAGCGCAGCGAUGCGUUGAGCUAACCGGUACUAAUGAACCGUGAGGCUUAACCUUACAACGCCGAAG
rnacentral:rRNA from 1 species